UACGUAGGUGGCGAGCGUUGUCCGGAUUUACUGGGCGUAAAGAGCGCGCAGGCGGUCGUUCAAGUCGCGUGUGAAAGCCCCCGGCUCAACUGGGGAGGGUCACGCGAUACUGAUCGACUCGAAGGCAGGAGAGGGAAGUGGAAUUCCCGGUGUAGUGGUGAAAUGCGCAGAUAUCAGGAGGAACACCGGUGGCGAAGGCGGUUCUCUGGGCAUGUCCUGACGCUGAGGAGCGAAAGUGUGGGGAGCGAACAGG
rnacentral:rRNA from 1 species